UUAUCUCCUCCUUUAAGCUCCCCUAUCUUCGGUAUAAUAUAAGCCAAGAUACAGCUUGAAGAGAGACAAGACAGUAAGGCAAAGGCUAAAGACACAACACAAACGAGAAAUAUCACAAUCGGCGCACAAGUGCUAAGGUUUCUUGCUCUUCAUCUUGCUAUUCAUCCUUGAGGAAGAAAAAGAAUAUGGCAGCAUUUGCAGGAACCCAGCAAAAAUGUAUGGCUUGUGACAAGACAGUGUAUCUUGUUGAUAAGUUGACGGCUGAUAACAGGAUUUAUCACAAGGCCUGCUUUAGAUGCCACCAUUGCAGGGGUACCCUAAAGCUAAGCAACUACAGUUCUUUUGAAGGGGUUCUGUACUGCAGACCUCACUAUGACCAACUCUUCAAGAGAACUGGCAGUCUAGACAAGAGUUUCGAAGGAACACCAAAAAUUGUGAAACCAGAAAAACCUGUUGAUAAUGAGAACGCAAGCAAGGUCUCGAAUUUGUUUGCUGGCACCAGAGAAAAAUGUGUUGGGUGCAACAAGACUGUCUAUCCUAUCGAGAAGGUUACAGUAAAUGGAACUCCAUACCAUCGGAGCUGUUUUAAGUGUACCCAUGGAGGUUGUACAAUAAGCCCAUCUAACUACAUUGCACAUGAGGGAAAACUCUACUGCAAGCAUCAUCUUAUCCAACUUUUCAAGGAGAAAGGAAACUACAGCCAGCUUGAGAAUGAACGCGAGAAAAAUCCAGUCACUGUGAAUAUCACCGCUGUGGAAAUUGCCGCCGAAUCAUGAUCGACUAAAGACUUCUUGUCCCCGUCUCUAGCCCUUUUUAGCCCUUCCCACCAUAAAUGGCAUCGCAGGCUCUUCAUGGAUUUUCUUCUCUUCUAUACGUCAAGGAUUGGUUUUCGCUUGCAAGAUUAGAUGUGUUGGUGUCCCAUGGCUGUAAUUUUGUGGGAACUCUGAGUGUGAUGUGUCAGUUGAAAUUUCUGCCAAGUUUGUAUCCUCUGUUUCCUCAAAAUACGUAAAGAUUUCGGUAUCCUGAAUGAUUAUCACCGUGUUCUAUUUAGUUGUGAACAAUUCAGCAGGAAAAAAGUUGCAUCGACCAAGAAAGAAACUGCGUUGUUCAGAAAAAGAAAGAUGCCGUCCCACCCUACAGUAAAGCAUUUUAAAGCAGCAACAUUCAAGAUAAACAAGUAAUUCUACACGUAAUGAGGCAUAAAAAAGCUUCAUGACUUCUUCAUGGCAUAAGCAGUUCCUGCCACGUGGCAUGUACUAACCACAAAUUUUCCCAGUGAGUUUAAAGCCAACAGAAAAUGCAUCAUCCCUCAAUCGCUCAACAUAAACUUUGACAAUUAAAAUACAACAGGCAGUACUGAAAGGAAGCAUACACAGCUCAGAAACUUUGUCAUUGAAAUAAUCUAAUAACCCAGUUCAUAUUACUGUACUUUAUGCAACUGGCUUGUGUCUAACCAUGUAUAUACAAAGGAAAGGAAUUGAACUCUAUUCCCUCCUCCUUUCCUUU